rnacentral:rRNA from 1 species
GGGGGGGGGGGGGGGGGGGCGUGGGGGAGGGGGGGCGGGCGGGGGGGGGGGGGGUGCGCCUGGAUUCAGCGGCGGACGGGUGGGGAAUGCCUAGGAGUCUGCGUGGGAGUGGGGGAUAACGUCCGGAAACGGGCGCUAAUACCGCAUACGUCCUGAGGGAGAGAGUGGGGGAUCUUCGGACCUCACGCUAUCAGAUGAGCCUAGGUCGGAUUAGCUAGUUGGUGGGGGAAAGGCCUACCAAGGCGACGAUCCGUAACUGGUCUGAGAGGAUGAUCAGGCACACUGGAACUGAGACACGGUCCAGACUCCUACGGGAGGCAGCAGUGGGGAAUAUUGGACAAUGGGCGAAAGCCUGAUCCAGCCAUGCCGCGUGUGUGAAGAAGGUCUUCGGAUUGUAAAGCACUUUAAGUUGGGAGGAAGGGCAGUAAGUUAAUACCUUGCUGUUUUGACGUUACCAACAGAAUAAGCACCGGCUAACUUCGUG